UCCGUGGCCUGGCUGGGGAGGAUGAGAACCGAAAGAGGUUCGACGAAGGCGCGAAGCGCCGGAGAGCGCUGCGCAGGGCGCAGCGACCCGGAGGCGGAACGCCGGAGGCGUGGAGUAAUCCUCCCCUCCACCAUA
rnacentral:sRNA from 1 species